rnacentral:rRNA from 1 species
AACGAACGCUGGCGGCGUGGAUAAGACAUGCAAGUCGAACGCUGAUUUCAGGGUAGCAAUAUUUUGAAGUCGGAGUGGCGCAAGGGUGCGUAACACGUGGGUAAUCUGCCGUGAAGUUGGGGGAUAACUUGCUGAAAGGCGAGCUAAUACCGGAUGUGAAAAUUAGGAGGCAUCUCUCGAUUUUCAAAGUUGGGGACCGUAAGGCCUGACGCUUCAUGAUGAGCCCGCGGCCUAUCAGCUAGUUGGUGAGGUAAUGGCUCACCAAGGCUAAGACGGGUAGCUGGUCUGAGAGGACGACCAGCCUCACUGGAACUGAGACACGGUCCAGACACCUACGGGUGGCAGCAGUCGAGAAUUUUUCACAAUGGGCGAAAGCCUGAUGGAGCGACGCCGCGUGGGGGAUGAAGGGCUUCGGCCCGUAAACCUCUGUCAUUUGCGAACAAACCUUUCCACCUAACACUUGGAGAGCUGAUUGUAGCGAAAGAGGAAGGGACGGCUAACUCUGUGCCAGCAGCCGCGGUAAUACAGAGGUCCCAAGCGUUGUUCGGAUUCACUGGGCGUAAAGGGUGCGUAGGCGGUCGGAUAAGUCUGAUGUGAAAUCUCCGAGCUCAACUCGGAAAUGGCAUUGGAUACUAUUCGGCUGGAGGGUUGGAGGGGGGACUGGAAUACUUGGUGUAGCAGUGAAAUGCGUAGAUAUCAAGUGGAACACCAGUGGCGAAGGCGAGUCCCUGGACAACUCCUGACACUGAGGCACGAAAGCUAG